rnacentral:tRNA from 1 species
GGGAUUUAGCUCAGUGGUGCAGCACCCACCUGGCAAGUGUGAAAUCCUGAGUUCAAUUCCUAGAACUCCCG